rnacentral:rRNA from 1 species
UACGUAGGGUGCGAGCGUUGCCCGGAUUUAUUGGGCGUAAAGGGCGCGCAGGCGGUACGGCACGUCCGUUGUGAAAUCGCUCGGCUCAACUGGGCGGGGUCAGCGGAUACGGCCGCACUUGAGCAAGCUAGGGGGCAAUGGAAUUCCCGGUGUAGUGGUGGAAUGCGUAGAUAUCGGGAAGAACACCUAUGGCGAAGGCAGCUCUCUGGGACGGUACUGACGCUGAGACGCGAAAGCGUGGGGAGCGAACAGG